AAGAUGGCGGCUGGAGACUAGCGCUGGAGAGGGGGAGCCUUCCAUAUCCGGCCACUUCUCUCCACAGCCGCCAUUUUGGCAGAAGCCUAAGCCUUGCUCAUCCCUUACUUAGGCUACAUUUUCAAAAGUCAGAAAAAACUUUUUCCUGAAGAAGGGGUUUCUGAGACAAGACCCCUAUUUGUGACCAAUUGUAAGAUCAUCUGAAGAUCGAGUCCGAUUGCCUGGCCAGGCCGGGCUGGGUGGUAUGUGCCCCCGUCACGCCGGAGGUUCCUGCUUUAGCGACGCCAAAGAUUGGGUGUGAGGGCAGCCCGCGGUGACAGAGACACGGAUCGGACCGAGAGAAAAAGGCUGUGGGCUUCACUGAGCAGAGUGACGUCAAUUCACAGGACCUCCACAGUGUGCCUUUUGCUGGGUAGGAAAAUGCCAGCCAGCUUGGAAAACAAGAAGACACAUUUAUGUCUACCAUGAGCAUUGGCAUCAGCCAAUUAUCCCACACGUUUUCGGCUAGUCAGUGCUGAAGAGAGCAAGAAUUUCAACCCUUCUUGCUACAUUCAAGACAUAGAAAUCCAGCCAGAAGACAACUCGAGAUAUUUUGUGGAUCUAUGCCUUUCCUUCAGAAAAGCAAAUAUCUACCAUAAAAAAACACUGGUCCAAUAUUCACUUCUAUAAGAAAUGCAGGGGCAAAUAAAUUAUGGAUUUUAUUAUCGCUAAUAGAGUCACUUAACCAUUACUCCUUACUACAUUCUGCUUUUCUAACAAAAUUUCGACUGAAUAUUCUCCCUCAGAGCCUCCAAAAGGAACCAACUGAUGACAACUGAUUUUGGACUUCUGGCCUCCUGAACUAUAACAAAAUAAACAUCUGUUGU
rnacentral:lncRNA from 1 species